UACGUAGGGUGCAAGCGUUGUCCGGAUUUAUUGGGCGUAAAGAGCGCGUAGGCGGCCGAGUAAGUCCGACGUGAAAUCUGGAGGCUCAACCUCCAGCGGUCGUUGGAAACUACUCGGCUAGAGUCCGGAAGAGGAGAGUGGAAUUCCUGGUGUAGCGGUGAAAUGCGCAGAUAUCAGGAAGAACACCGAUGGCGAAGGCAGCUCUCUGGGACGGUACUGACGCUGAGGCGCGAAAGCGUGGGGAGCGAACAGG
rnacentral:rRNA from 1 species